AUCCAGCUGAUGAGUCCCGAAUAGGACUAAACGCGCGUCCUGGAU
rnacentral:hammerhead_ribozyme from 1 species